rnacentral:rRNA from 1 species
AAUUGAAGAGUUUGAUCAUGGCUCAGAUUGAACGCUGGCGGCAGGCCUAACACAUGCAAGUCGAACGGUAACAGAAAGCAGCUUGCUGCUUUGCUGACGAGUGGCGGACGGGUGAGUAAUGUCUGGGAAACUGCCUGAUGGAGGGGGAUAACUACUGGAAACGGUAGCUAAUACCGCAUAACGUCGCAAGACCAAAGAGGGGGACCUUCGGGCCUCUUGCCAUCGGAUGUGCCCAGAUGGGAUUAGCUUGUUGGUGGGGUAACGGCUCACCAAGGCGACGAUCCCUAGCUGGUCUGAGAGGAUGACCAGCCACACUGGAACUGAGACACGGUCCAGACUCCUACGGGAGGCAGCAGUGGGGAAUAUUGCACAAUGGGCGCAAGCCUGAUGCAGCCAUGCCGCGUGUAUGAAGAAGGCCUUCGGGUUGUAAAGUACUUUCAGCGGGGAGGAAGGGAGUAAAGUUAAUACCUUUGCUCAUUGACGUUACCCGCAGAAGAAGCACCGGCUAACUCCGUGCCAGCAGCCGCGGUAAUACGGAGGGUGCAAGCGUUAAUCGGAAUUACUGGGCGUAAAGCGCACGCAGGCGGUUUGUUAAGUCAGAUGUGAAAUCCCCGGGCUCAACCUGGGAACUGCAUCUGAUACUGGCAAGCUUGAGUCUCGUAGAGGGGGGUAGAAUUCCAGGUGUAGCGGUGAAAUGCGUAGAGAUCUGGAGGAAUACCGGUGGCGAAGGCGGCCCCCUGGACGAAGACUGACGCUCAGGUGCGAAAGCGUGGGGAGCAAACAGGAUUAGAUACCCUGGUAGUCCACGCCGUAAACGAUGUCGACUUGGAGGUUGUGCCCUUGAGGCGUGGCUUCCGGAGCUAACGCGUUAAGUCGACCGCCUGGGGAGUACGGCCGCAAGGUUAAAACUCAAAUGAAUUGACGGGGGCCCGCACAAGCGGUGGAGCAUGUGGUUUAAUUCGAUGCAACGCGAAGAACCUUACCUGGUCUUGACAUCCACGGAAGUUUUCAGAGAUGAGAAUGUGCCUUCGGGAACCGUGAGACAGGUGCUGCAUGGCUGUCGUCAGCUCGUGUUGUGAAAUGUUGGGUUAAGUCCCGCAACGAGCGCAACCCUUAUCCUUUGUUGCCAGCGGUCCGGCCGGGAACUCAAAGGAGACUGCCAGUGAUAAACUGGAGGAAGGUGGGGAUGAUGUCAAGUCAUCAUGGCCCUUACGACCAGGGCUACACACGUGCUACAAUGGCGCAUACAAAGAGAAGCGACCUCGCGAGAGCAAGCGGACCUCAUAAAGUGCGUCGUAGUCCGGAUUGGAGUCUGCAACUCGACUCCAUGAAGUCGGAAUCGCUAGUAAUCGUGGAUCAGAAUGCCACGGUGAAUACGUUCCCGGGCCUUGUACACACCGCCCGUCACACCAUGGGAGUGGGUUGCAAAAGAAGUAGGUAGCUUAACCUUCGGGAGGGCGCUUACCACUUUGUGAUUCAUGACUGGGGUGAAGUCGUAACAAGGUAACCGUAGGGGAACCUGCGGUUGGAUCACCUCCUUA